rnacentral:lncRNA from 1 species
AAGAAAUUGAUGUUUGGUCCCCUUUUAUCUACGGCAGCGCCGUGCCUGUAUCUCCGUACAAUUCAGUUGCAUUAAGUCAAGACCAAGCUACAGGAACUGUGUUGCUGAUGAUCAAGAUUGAUGGUCGUGUCCGAUUCAAAGUUGGAACCUUUAUUUCUGCGAAAUAUCAUUUGAAUGUUCGGUGUCCUGCUUAUAUUCAGUUUGGUAGCAGAACCAGUGGAAUCAUUGUCGGUGAGAACGCCAUUAAGUAUCAGCUGGUAACGAGAUGCAGUGUGAGCCUUUGAAGGGAUGAUACAAGUUCAAGAUGGUAAAACGCUAUAACGCCGUUAAGUUACUAUUUUCUUUUUUGGGCACUCUUUAAU